rnacentral:miRNA from 1 species
UGCAUUUUCUCUCUGUUAAC